rnacentral:lncRNA from 1 species
CAUGGGAACGCGGGGGCCGCGCUCGCCCCGCCGGCCCCGGGAGGGACCCGCGGCCUUCGCGGCCCUUCCCGAGCGUGGCCCUCGCCCAGCUUGCGAAACGGGAUCGCUUCCCCUUUCCCGAGGGCGCCUUCCCCUUUUCUAAGAACGGCCCGGCCGCGGGGGAGCGGCGCUGCACGGCCCCGCUCCCACAGAGGGAUGUGCCCGCGGCGGGAGCGGCGCCGGCAUCCCCACGGCAGGGAGGGAGCGGGAACCGGAGACCUGGCAGGCAGAAGGACACAUCCUUUUGCAAAAACCAGCUGUGACUGGUACCACGCAGCAUCGGCCUCACACAGGAGCUGCGAGGGGAAACCAGGCAAAGGCAACCUGUGGGUUUGGCCACAUCAGCACCCCAAAACUUGGGCCUGGAGGUUGGACAGCACAGCCUCAAUGUCUGGAUUCAGCCUUCUCCAGGGAGCUUUGCUUCCCCUGUGGCACCCACUUGCUAGAGAGCCAAAUGGGCAGCACAGCAGGAAGCAGCACUAAACACAAGGGAACCCAGCAUAGAUUGGUUAUAAAACUCCCUGCCUUCAUUUUAUUGCCUUUGGUAAAGCUUGGUAAAUAUUUCUGGGACAGGCAACUCCUUGUCUGGCUUUAAUUACCUAGGCAAAUUUUCCUAAGGAUUAUAUUGACCUCAAAUAUGUCAACGUUUAUUGAGGCCGUGUUCCUGAGGCUUUUCCCAUUAGGUGCUAAUGGAUUCUGGCUAAUAGUCAAGCCGGAUUGACCACCAGCAGGUGCCCUGGCCAGCUCCACGCUACCACAAGUACCUGGGGAGAGAGCUGGGGAGGGCAACAUUGGCUUUGUGAGAGCCAAGUACAGAAAUCACCAUGGCUCUGAUCCAAAGAGAUCAGGGAACACGCUUGAGUAAUUGCAUUCCUGACUAUCUGCUUCUCUGGGCAUGAUUCACCCCGAGCUGGGGCUGUGAGACUUCGAGCAAAGGUUGAUUUUGCUUGGGUCUGUUGUGGCU